rnacentral:rRNA from 1 species
GGGCAGCAUGGUCUUAGCUUGCUAAGGCCGAUGGCGACCGGCGCACGGGUGAGUAACGCGUAUCCAACCUGCCUUACACUCUUGGACAGCCUUCUGAAAGGGAGAUUAAUACAAGAUGUUAUCAUGAGUAAGCAUUUUCGCAUGAUUAAAGGUUUACCGGUGUAAGAUGGGGAUGCGUUCCAUUAGAUAGUAGGCGGGGUAACGGCCCACCUAGUCUUCGAUGGAUAGGGGUUCUGAGAGGAAGGUCCCCCACAUUGGAACUGAGACACGGUCCAAACUCCUACGGGAGGCAGCAGUGAGGAAUAUUGGUCAAUGGACGAGAGUCUGAACCAGCCAAGUAGCGUGAAGGAUGAAGGUUCUAUGGAUUGUAAACUUCUUUUAUACGGGAAUAAACGAAUCCACGCGUGGGUUUUUGCAUGUACCGUAUGAAUAAGGAUCGGCUAACUCCGUGCCAGCAGCCGCGGUAAUACGGAGGAUCCGAGCGUUAUCCGGAUUUAUUGGGUUUAAAGGGAGCGUAGAUGGGUUGUUAAGUCAGUUGUGAAAGUUUGCGGCUCAACCGUAAAAUUGCAAUUGAUACUGGCAGUCUUGAGUACAGUU